CAGCAGCCACGGUAACACGGAGGAUCCAAGCGUUAUCCGGAAUCAUUGGGUUUAAAGGGUCCGUAGGCGGUCUUGUAAGUCAGUGGUGAAAGCCCAUCGCUCAACGGUGGAACGGCCAUUGAUACUGCAGGACUUGAAUUAUUGGGAAGUAACUAGAAUAUGUAGUGUAGCGGUGAAAUGCUUAGAGAUUACAUGGAAUACCAAUUGCGAAGGCAGGUUACUACCAAUUGAUUGACGCUGAUGGACGAAAGCGUGGGUAGCGAACAGGAUUAGAUACCCGGGUAGUCCCUGUCUCUUAUAA
rnacentral:rRNA from 1 species